rnacentral:rRNA from 1 species
AUUGAACGCUGGCGGCAGGCCUAACACAUGCAAGUCGAGCGGGGCGGCGGACGGGUGAGUAAUGCCUAGGAAGCUGCCUGGUAGUGGGGGAUAAAGUCCGGCAGCGGGCGCUAAUACCGCAUCCUCUCAGAUGAGCCUAGGUCGGAUUAGCUAGUUGGUGGGGGAAAGGCCUACCAAGGCGACGAUCCGUACCUGGUCUGAGAGGAUGAUCAGUCACACGGGAACUGAGACACGGUCCAGACUCCUACGGGAGGCAGCAGUGGGGAAUAUUGGACAAUGGGCGAAAGCCUGAUCCAGCCAUGCCGCGUUUGUGAAGAAGGUCGUCGGAUUGUAAAGCACUUUAAGUUGGGAGGCGUUACCAACAGAAUAAGCACCGGCUAACUCCGUGCCAGCAGCCGCGGUAAUAC